CUCAGGAUGAACGCUGGCGGCGUGCUUAACACAUGCAAGUCGAACGGGAACCUCUGGAUUCGUCUGGAGGGGAGAGUGGCGAACGGGUGAGUAACGCGUAGGUGACCUGCCUCGAAGACGGGGAUAACUGCUGGAAACGGUAGCUAAUACCCGAUGGUCUCGAUAAUUCGGUUUGUCGAGUAAAAGCUCCGGCGCUUUGAGAGGGACCUGCGGCCCAUCAGCUAGUUGGUAGGGUAACGGCCUACCAAGGCGAAGACGGGUAGGGGGCGUGAGAGCGUGACCCCCCACACUGGCACUGGGACACGGGCCAGACUCCUACGGGAGGCAGCAGUGAGGAAUAUUGCGCAAUGAGCGAAAGCUAGACGCAGCAACGCCGCGUGGGUGAUGAAGGCCUUCGGGUCGUAAAACCCUUUUCUGGGGGAAGAGUAAGGACGGUACCCCAGGAAUAAGCCUCGGCUAACUAUGUGCCAGCAGCCGCGGUAAUACAUAGGAGGCAAGCGUUAUCCGGAUUUACUGGGCGUAAAGAGCGUUGAGGCGGCUUCGUAAGUUGGACGUGAAAGCUCCCGGCUUAACUGGGAGAGGCCGUUCAAUACUGCGGGGCUUGAGGACAGCAGAGGGGGGUGGAAUUUCCGGUGUAGUGGUGAAAUGCGUAGAUAUCGGAAGGAACACCAGUGGCGAAGGCGGCCCCCUGGGCUGCUCCUGACGCUGAAGGCGAAAGCUAGGGUAGCGAACGGGAUUAGAAACCCCGGUAGUCCUAGCCGUAAACGAUGGAUACUAGGUGUAGGAGGUUAAAACUCCUUCUGUGCCGGAGCUAACGCGUUAAGUAUCCCGCCUGGGGAGUACGGUCGCAAGGCUAAAACUCAAAGGAAUUGACGGGGGCCCGCACAAGCAGCGGAGCGUGUGGUUUAAUUCGAUGCAACGCGAAGAACCUUACCAGGGCUUGACAUGUAGGUAGUAGUGAAGCGAAAGCGGAACGAUCCUUCGGGAAGCCUACACAGGUGCUGCAUGGCUGUCGUCAGCUCGUGCCGUGAGGUGUUAGGUUAAGUCCUGUAACGAGCGCAACCCCUGCCGUUAGUUACAAGUGUCUAACGGGACUGCCCGGCAAAACUGGGAGGAAGGUGGGGAUGACGUCAAGUCA
rnacentral:rRNA from 1 species